GUGCUUGCUAAGCAGCACAGAUAAUAAAACCUAGGAUGAUACAGAGAUUAGCAUGUCUCCNGCUCAAGGAUGACAUGCAGAGUCAUUAAGCUUUAAAAAAAAAU
rnacentral:snRNA from 1 species